UACGAGAGGCCCAAACGUUAUUCGGAUUUACUGGGCUUAAAGAGUUCGUAGGCGGUCCGUCAAGUGGGGUGUGAAAUCCCUCGGCUUAACCGAGGAAUUGCGCUCCAAACUGUCGGGCUCGAGGGAGAUAGAGGUGAGCGGAACUGAUGGUGGAGCGGUGAAAUGCGUUGAUAUCAUCAGGAACACCAGAGGCGAAGGCGGCUCACUGGGUCUCUUCUGACGCUGAGUGCGCGAAAGCCAGGGGAGCAAACGGG
rnacentral:rRNA from 1 species